rnacentral:rRNA from 1 species
UGCUGGAGGUAUCAGAAGUGCGAAUGCUGACAUAAGUAACGAUAAAGCGGGUGAAAAGCCCGCUCGCCGGAAGACCAAGGGUUCCUGUCCAACGUUAAUCGGGGCAGGGUGAGUCGACCCCUAAGGCGAGGCCGAAAGGCGUAGUCGAUGGGAAACGGGUUAAUAUUCCCGUACUUGGUGUUACUGCGAAGGGGGGACGGAGAAGGCUAUGUUGGCCGGGCGACGGUUGUCCCGGUUUAAGCGUGUAGGUGUGUGUUCCAGGUAAAUCCGGUUCACUUUAACACUGAGGCGUGAUGACGAGGCACUACGGUGCUGAAGCAACAAAUGCCCUGCUUCCAGGAAAAGCCUCUAAGCAUCAGGUAACAUCAAAUCGUACCCCAAACCGACACAGGUGGUCAGGUAGAGAAUACCAAGGCGCUUGAGAGAACUCGGGUGAAGGAACUAGGCAAAAUGGUGCCGUAACUUCGGGAGAAGGCACGCUGACAUGUAGGUGAAGUGAUUUACUCAUGGAGCUGAAGUCAGUCGAAGAUACCAGCUGGCUGCAACUGUUUAUUAAAAACACAGCACUGUGCAAACACGAAAGUGGACGUAUACGGUGUGACGCCUGCCCGGUGCCGGAAGGUUAAUUGAUGGGGUCAGCGCAAGCGAAGCUCCUGAUCGAAGCCCCGGUAAACGGCGGCCGUAACUAUAACGGUCCUAAGGUAGCGAAAUUCCUUGUCGGGUAAGUUCCGACCUGCACGAAUGGCGUAAUGAUGGCCAGGCUGUCUCCACCCGAGACUCAGUGAAAUUGAACUCGCUGUGAAGAUGCAGUGUACCCGCGGCAAGACGGAAAGACCCCGUGAACCUUUACUAUAGCUUGACACUGAACAUUGAGCCUUGAUGUGUAGGAUAGGUGGGAGGCUUUGAAGCGUGGACGCCAGUCUGCGUGGAGCCGACCUUGAAAUACCACCCUUUAAUGUUUGAUGUUCUAACGUGGACCCGUAAUCCGGGUUGCGGACAGUGUCUGGUGGGUAGUUUGACUGGGGCGGUCUCCUCCUAAAGAGUAACGGAGGAGCACGAAGGUUGGCUAAUCCUGGUCGGACAUCAGGAGGUUAGUGCAAUGGCAUAAGC